ACAGCAGUCGCCACGGGAAUACGGAGGGUGCAAGCGUUAAUCGGAAUUACUGGGCGUAAAGCGCACGCAGGCGGUCUGUCAAGUCAGAUGUGAAAUCCCCGGGCUUAACCUGGGAACUGCAUUUGAAACUGGCAGGCUAGAGUCUUGUAGAGGGGGGUAGAAUUCCAGGUGUAGCGGUGAAAUGCGUAGAGAUCUGGAGGAAUACCGGUGGCGAAGGCGGCCCCCUGGACAAAGACUGACGCUCAGGUGCGAAAGCGUGGGGAGCAAACAGGAUUAGAUACCCGUGUAGUCCCUGUCUCUUAUAC
rnacentral:rRNA from 1 species